UCGUGCAGCCCCGGGGUCCCGGUGCGGCCCCCGGGCCAGAGCCCCGGUGCGGCCCCGAUGCUUCCCCGGACAGCCCCGGGGCAUUCCCAGAGCUCCCACGCGUGAGGCACGCUGGGAUCGGCCCCCCCCCCACCGCCGUGUGCAGACGUGGGGGUGGUGCGCGCGCUGCCCAGCCUCUUCUUGGCGGGGCCGGGCCGGAGCGGGGGCCCGGUGCCCGGUGCCGCCGUGCGUAGCUGGUCGCCGCCAUGAACGCAGGUGUGUGCAGGCGGGACGGGCCACACCGCCCCCUGCCCGCCCCCCGGCCCUGCCCGUAGGCAGCGCGUCCCCCUGCACAUGUACCCGCGUGGGCGUCCUAGCCCCGCAGCACCCCACGGGCCGAUCUGGCUAGCGCCCACCCGCCGGCCGGGGUCGGGGGCCUGUGCCUUGGGGGACGUGUCCCGUUCCCCCGUCCCCCCCCUCUGCCAGCACCCCGUGGCUGGUGCGAGGGCUCGACCCCCGCCCUGCCACAGGGGUCACGGCAUCCCUCUUCCGUGCCAGCCCCCUUGCUCCCCUCCUCCCCCCAGCACCUGCUCUGUGGGGCUGUGACCCCCAUCUUCCUGGCAGGGGUCUUGGCCCCCUUUUACCCCAUCCCCCAGGGUUUGGGGGAUGCGGUGACCCCGCCACCCCCAUACCCCCCUCCCUGAAAUGCUCCCAUGGGGAGGGAGGAGGGUGCUGGGGAAGGCUUCCUGUGUGUCCCUGCAGGGAGCAAAGGCACAGGCUGGAGGUACCGUGGGGGGCCAGGACACCAGGGGCCCUUUUCCAGAGGUGUCUGGAUGCUUGGGGUGCUGCCCCCCCCCCUCCAGCUGUAGGGCCCUGCGUGGAUGCUGCCCCUUCCCCAAGGCCUGAGCUGACUCUCUCUGCCAUGCAAGAGACCUGCAGGAUACCGCUGGGUCACCAGCCACGGGUGCCGCAGCCCACCAGCCGUGGCUUGAUGCCAAGAUGUUUGCAGGGAUAAGCAGUGCCCAGUGCAGGCGUUCAUGCAACGAGGGGGCACAAUGAGCAGCAGUGAUGACUCUACCGGAACAGAGCAACCCAUGUGCCCAUCGGCCGGGCCUGUGCCUGUGGGCUGGGAGCGCAAGGUGGAGGAGGGCUCUGUGUGCUACAUCAGCCCCAGUGGCACCACGCUGACCUCACUGGAGCAGACUUGCGCCUACCUCCUGGCUGAUGGGACCUGCAAGUGUGGCCUCGAGCGUCCACUCAACACGCACAAGGUGUUUAACUUCGACCCAGGGGCAAUGGUGGCUGGGCGAGGAGCCCCUGGGGCCCAGGGCCAGCAAGACAUGACGAAACUGUGCAAUCACCGCUGGAAAGCAAUGGCCAUGGCCACGCUAUACCACAGUAUGGAGGGCACCCUGGGCCCCUGCCACCCAGGCACAGGUCCCAGCCUGAGCCUGCUGUUCUCAGCCAAGGGCCACCUGGCCACGGCCCCCAGCACUGGUGUCCCCCUGCCCAGCACUGUCGGCAACUUCCCCAGGGUCCCCCUGGGGGUGAAGACCCUGGAGGCCACAUCUGCCCCCGCGGGGACCUUUCUGCAGCCCCAUGACAUCGUCCCUGGGGCCAACGGCAGCCCCACGAGCCGCCCACCUGCCACCCCCUGCUUUGGCCUCCGCUUGCCCCUGCCAGAUGUGGCGGCAGUCCCCCUCAGAUCCCUUGUGGUGCCCCUUGCCAAACGCACCCAAAGCCAGCACCCCACAGGCAGGACUAGUGACUGGGCAGCCCCAUCACAGGGGGGGACUGGAGAAAGCCCAGAGUUGGGGGGCUGGGGCCAUGCCUGCCAGCCACCACCAGUGCCCCCCAGGCAGGCAAGGUCGAUUCUUCUGUCAGCAAUGCCUUAACCAGCCAAAGCAGCAAUAACCUGCCAGUGCCCUUAGAUGCUGUCCCCGAGGGCAGGGGCUUUUUGGGGCUGGCACCGCUGAGCACCCCCUUCCCCACCAGCAGCCUGCUGAGCUUGGCUGCCAAGACUCAGCUGGGCAGCCCUGACCCCGUGCCUGCCCCCAGCACUUUACCCCCCUGCCUGCUCCUCCCCAGCAUGCUGCGCUCUCUUGUGGGUGAGCAGGUCCUGGGCAGGGAGGCCCAGUGGCCCCAAUGCCUUGACCUCCAGGACCCAGCAGCUCACAGGGUGCCCUCUGAGCCCAAGGGGAUGCACCCCCCAGUGACCGGGCAGCCUCUUGCAGCCCUGCUGAACCUGCUGGGUAUUCAGAGCUGUCUUGGCGGGGGAGGCCCGGGGGAGCCCAGCCUCCCCCUGGGACCCUUGCCUGUCACCAACGGCUUGCCCUGCCCUGGCAUCGGUCUCCUGCCCACCGGCCGGGACUGCAGUGGGCAGCUCCUGGGUCUCUUUGGGCAGCUGGCAGCAUCUUCUGAACCCACCUCAGGGACCUCCCCGCAGUCAAAAGCCUCUGGUCGUAACCAUAGGCCAGGUAUGUGGGGCAGUGCCUGUGAGGCUGGGCAGCUGGUGGGGAGCAGGGCUGCAGCAGAUGUGCCUCAAUCAGCUGGGGAUGGACCCCACCCUGGGGUGGCCGUGGCAGCGAUACUGGGGUGGUUAAUGCCCCCAGAGAGCCCGUUGUGGCUGUGGGGCCAGGUGGGAGGCAGUGGGACAUGGUCGUGGGUCCCUGCUGUGGGUGGUGGGACCUGGUAGGAUGUAGUUGUGGAUCUCAUGGGAUGUAGUGGGACCCAGUGGGAUGUGGCCAUAGGUUUGCGGUGGGGGUGGUCGAUGUGUCCGUGGGUCUUGUGAGAUGCGGUGGGACCUGUCUGUGGGUUCAUUCUGGUGGUUGGUGGGAUGUGGCUGUGGGUCUGGCGGGAUGUGGCAAGUUGCAUUCAUGGGCCUGCAGCAGAUGUGGCUGUGGCAGCCCAGUGCUCUGACCCAUCCCCUGCAGGUGCUGCAGCUUCUCCAGCUGUCUCCAAAGGUGCUGUGGCCCCAGGGGCUGGCAGUAAUGUGGAUGGGAGUGCUGGGGCAGUGCUGGGUUGUCUGCUGCCCCCUGCAACCAAGCCUGUAGCCUUUGUGGGGCAGGAGCAGGCACUGGGGGGCUCCUUGACACCAUGCCUCCUCCUGGCCACUCUCCCCUUCUCGGUAGCCCUGGGCCAGCACCCACCAGCCUGCCGGGGGGAUCUUGAGGGGCCCAGUCUGCCCUCCCUGCUGGCGACCUCCCUGCUCCCGCUGCCCCUGCUGCUCCUCGACAUCCUCCUGCUUGCCCUGGACCUGCUGUCCUUGCCAGGGACCCUGUUCUCCACCCUGCUGACCCUGUCCCCUGGGCCAGGGGAGAUGGGCCCUGAGGCACUGGCGACAGGCCGCAAGGGCUGCAUGGUACUGCCUGACCGGCCCCUGCUCUUCUCUGCGCUGCCUGCCUUGCUCACCCUCCACCCCACGCUGCUGGCUGCCGGGCUGGGCCGCCCUGAGCCUGCCCCUGCUGCCCUGCCACCCCCCCCCCCCCCCCCCCCCCCCGCCGCGAGACCGGUCCCUUUGCUCCCAGGGAAUGAGGGGGUUGCCCCAGGUUAGGGAGGAGAUUGAUGAGGGGGUUAUUUGCCCUUUGCAGGGAGAGAGGGUGAUGAGGGGGAGGUUCCCCCUACUAAGGGAGGGGGAUGAUGGGUAAAGCUAUUCCCCCCUCUAGGGUGGAGGGUGAUGGUACCUGGGGGCAUUUGCCCUUGCAGAUGGGUGGUGUCAGGUGUGUAUUAACACUGGAGAAGAGGAAGGAGCGUAUUUGCCUGCAGUGCAGUAGCAGGGGAACUGGCAGGAGGGGUGUUUGCCCCUGGGAUGAGGGCAAGGGAGGGUGUUUGCCCCAGGGAGGAGAGUGGUGGAAGGUAUUAGCACCCAGACUGGGUUAGAUGAGGAGUAGCUGCCUGUGGGGAGGAAGUUGGAGAUAUUUAUGUGCCCCCAGGAGAGCAAGUCUUUGCCCCAGGGAGGAGGGUGCUUGCCCCCAGGGCAUGGGAGGAGGAUGAGGAGGACUGGUUGGUUUUGCAAUGGCAGCAAGAUUUGGGGGUAUCUCUGCCCCAUUUCUUGGGGGUGCCCCAACUAGCCCCUCUUGCCAGCAGUCCAGCCUUGCCAGACCCUCUGUGGCACCUACCUUGACUGGCCCCCCGCCCCCGACUACUGAGGCCCUGUGCGGGGAGGCCUGGGUCCCCAACAGCACCGCAGGCACCCUGGAGCACCUCAACCUGCUGGGGCCCCUUUUGGGCAGCUCCCUGCUUGGUGCCACGCUGCUGGGUGAGUGGGGCGGGGGGACUGGGCACCUUAGGGACAACCCUGAGCACUGCUCGGAUGAGGGGUGCCAGGGGCAUGCUGUGUGCUGGGGGGCAGGGGGUGCCCCCGGAACCUGGGUAACAUCAUGCCUCUCCCUUGUCUCUCCAAGGCAACCUACUGGCUUUGAGCCCCCUGCUCCAGAAUCGGCCAUUGCUGCCCUCCACGUUGCCCCCCCUGGGACUGUCACUGGGCCCAGGCCAGGGCCCCCCCCAGGGCACUACCAGCCCCUUGGCUGGCCUGCUCCAGAGCCUGCAGGGGAGCUCCCUGCAUCUACGCCCAUCCUGCCGGGGCUGGAGGAAGGUGGCCAGGUGAGUGCAGGGGACACAGGGGGCCCUGCCACAUCCCCCCACCCCACCUGACCCCCUGGUCCUUGCAGCACCCCCCAGCCCAGCGCCUGCCUGGAGACCCUGCAACAGAGAGGGCUCAGCGCCAGCCCAGGGGCUAGCCCCACUGCAGACCUGGCUGCGGCUCGAGGCCCAUGGCCUGGGCGCCCCGUCAAGAACUGCCGGAGGAAGCUGCUCACAU